rnacentral:rRNA from 1 species
AUGCACUGGCCCGAGAGGCCCAUCAGCUGGAGCCGUGCAGACCACCCGGAGGUGAUUCCUUCUCCCGGUUCCUACGCCAUGGUGUUGGAUGCCACUUUCUCAACAGAGAGGCGAGCUGCUCGCUUCUCCCGAGUCCUGAUAGACGGCGGUAGCAGCAUCAACAUCCUCUACCGCGACACCAUGGAGAAGUUGUGCAUCAAAGAAAAACAACUUCAGCCCAGUCGGACUUUCUUCCAUGGCAUUGUACCUGGCCUUUCCUGCUCACCAAUCGGCAAGAUGAAGAUAGAUGUCCUCUUUGGAGACAAAGAUCACUUCCACCGCGAGGCAAUUUGGUUUGAGGUGGUUGACCUGGAGAGCCCUUACCACGCACUCCUAGGCCGGCCAGCUCUAGCCAAAUUCAUGGCAGUGCCGCACUAUGCCUACCUCAAGAUGAAGAUGCUGGGUACCAAGGGCAUUAUCACUAUAGCCGGCGACUACAAGUCGGCCGCCUGUGCCGCUGCUAGCAAUCGGCUGGCAGAUUCCCUGGUGAUUGCUGCCGAGAAGAAGCUCCUUGACCAGGUUGUGGCCAUGGCCAGCAAGCAGCCGGAGCUAUCACCAGAUCCCAAGGAGUCGGAGACCCAGGGCUCCUUCUAG